UAGUCCACGCAGUAAACGUUGUACAUUAGGUGUGGCGGAUAUUAAAAUCUGCUGUGCCCAAGCUAACGCAUUAAGUGUCCCACCUGGGGAGUACGCCCGCAAGGGUGAAACUCAAAGGAAUUGACGGGGGCCCGCACAAGCGGUGGAGCAUGUGCUUUAAUUCGAUGCAACGCGAAGAACCUUACCUGCCCUUGACAUUGACAGAACCCUGGAGAGAUCCGGGGGUGCCUUCGGGCCUGGAAAACAGGUGCUGCAUGGCUGUCGUCAGCUCGUGUCGCGAGAUGUUGGGUUAAGUCCCGCAACGAGCGCAACCCUUGUCCUUAGUUGCCAGCAUUUAGUUGGGCACUCUAGGGAGACUGCCGGUGACAAACCGGAGGAAGGUGGGGAUGACGUCAAGUCAUCAUGGCCCUUAUGGGCAGGGCUACACACGUGCUACAAUGGCCAGUACAGAGGGUUGCCAACCCGCGAGGGGGAGCGUAAUCUCAGAAAGCUGGUCGUAGUCCGGAGUU
rnacentral:rRNA from 1 species